rnacentral:rRNA from 1 species
UACGGGGGGGGCAAGCGUUGUUCGGAAUUACUGGGCGUAAAGGGCUCGUAGGCGGCCAACUAAGUCGGACGUGAAAUCCCCAGGCUUAACCGGGGAACUGCGUCUGAUACUGGAUGGCUUGAGUUCGGGAGAGGGAUGCGGAAUUCCAGGUGUAGCGGUGAAAUGCGUAGAUAUCUGGAGGAACACCGGUGGCGAAGGCGGCAUCCUGGACCGACACUGACGCUGAGGAGCGAAAGCCAGGGGAGCAAACGGG